AGCGAGAACCCCGCAAGGGGGGACAGCGGCGAAAGGGACAGUAAUGUGUAGAUUAUCUGCCCUCAGGCCCGGGAUAGCUGCGGGAAACUGCAGGUAAUACCGGAUAACAUCUCCGGAUCAAAGGUGUGAUUCCGCCUGAGGAUGAGUCUACAUCCUAUUAGCUAGUUGGCGAGGUAAUGGCUCACCAAGGCAUUGAUGGGUAGCGGGUGUGAGAGCACGACCCGCGUCAUUGGGACUGAGACACUGCCCAGACACCUACGGGUGGCUGCAGUCGAGAAUCUUCGGCAAUGGGCGCAAGCCUGACCGAGCGACGCCGCGUGUGGGAUGAAGGCCUUCGGGUUGUAAACCACUGUCAGAGGGGAUGAAAUGCAGGUGGGUUCUCCCAUCUGUUUGACAUAGCCUCAGAGGAAGGACGGGCUAAGUUCGUGCCAGCAGCCGCGGUAAGACGAACCGUCCAAACGUUAUUCGGAAUCACUGGGCUUAAAGGGUGCGUAGGCGGCGCGGCAAGUUGGGUGUGAAAUCCCUCGGCUCAACCGAGGAACUGCGCCCAAAACUGCCGUGCUCGAGGGAGAUAGAGGUGAGCGGAACUUAGGGUGGAGCGGUGAAAUGC
rnacentral:rRNA from 1 species